rnacentral:misc_RNA from 1 species
GAUGAAGAACGUAGCGAAAUGCGAUAAGUAAUGUGAAUUGCAGAAUUCAGUGAAUCAUCGAAUCUUUGAACGCACAUUGCGCCCGCCAGCAUUCUGGCGGGCAUGCCUGUUCGAGCGUCAUUUCAACCCUCGAGCCCCCCCGGGGGCCUCGGUGUUGGGGGACGGCACACCAGCCGCCCCCGAAAUGCAGUGGCGACCCCGCCGCAGCCUCCCCUGCGUAGUAGCACACACCUCGCACCGGAGCGCGGAGGCGGUCACGCCGUAAAACGCCCAACUUUCUUAGAGUUGACCUCGGAUCAGGUACGAAUACCCGCUGAACUUAAGCAUAUCAAUAAGCGGAGGA